AUGUACUGCAGGGGGACCCCUAACACCACUUGAUAAAACACUGAAUGCUUUGCUCCAGCUCAGAGGAGGUUAUCACACAGACACUCCCCCCUGCAGCUCUUCAUACUUUAUGAGGCUCUGCAGUCCCUGUCAGACAUCAUGGACGUGAUCAUCUUUAAACACAGCUUCCUCACAGUGUCCAUCUUUUUACUUUGGACUACAGGUCUAACUGAUGGAAGCGAUGUCACCCAGACUGACAUGCUGUGGGAAACACAGGGAGAGAGUGCAACAAUGAACUGCACACACACAAAGGGUACUAGCUACUACCAGAUGUACUGGUACAGACAGCUGCCAGGAGAAACUAUGGAGCUAAUUGUGUUCACAACACCAGGGAACAAAGGUAAUCAUGAUUUUGGAGAAUUCGGCAAAGACAAGUUCUCAGCCACAAAGCCUGACGCUGAGAGCGGGACGUUCACAGUGAAGGGUCUGCAGCCAGGAGACAAAGGCUUGUACUUCUGUGCUGUGAGUCAACACAGUGACACACACACAGGACGAGGCUGAACAAAAACCCCAGAUAUUUGGCUGUUAGUGAUUCUAUGUGUCUGCUGUCCUGUAGGGGGACCUCCAGUUUAAUCACAGAAUCAUUCAGUUCAGAGACGCUCCCAGCUGUUCAUCUCUCUGUUGUAACCUCACACCUCCAUCACACACGGACUAUAACACUGAUCACAGCUGCUCUGAUUAAACUAACCCUAAACUGGAGGUUCUGGAUGUUACGACUCAUGACAGAGCUUAUGUGUUGAUGAUUCUGACAGUAGAGCAGAGACUCACUGGUGGUUCUGGAACAUGUGGUUUUGUGUUUGACCCUCACAGGAGUAUUGGUGGGAGUGAUGUGAUCCAGUCCUCUUUGCUUUAAACACUGCAGUCACACAAAGGACGUUAGCUCUAUCCAAAUGUUUUAAUGUGGGCUUCAAUCGACAAUUACUUUUUGUUAUGCAUUAACCUGCCCAUUAUUUUCUAGAUUAAUUGUUUAGUCUUCAAAAUGUCAGGAAAUAGUUAAAGUCCAUAGUAAUGUCUUGUUGUCAGUUUAUUACCCACACAUAUUUACUUUAUGUGAUCUAAAGAUUAGAUUUUUGAGGCUGAAACAUCUCAUUUACAUUGUUUACAUAAAAAUAUGUUUUGUUGAUUAGUCAAUGCAGCUCUACUCGUACCAUAUCUGAAUUGUUUACAUCACAUGACCAUCAGCU